UACAGAGGGUGCAAGCGUUAAUCGGAAUUACUGGGCGUAAAGCGUGCGUAGGCGGUCCCGCAAGUCCGCUGUGAAAGCCCCGAGCUUAACUUGGGAACUGCAGUGGAAACUAUGGGACUUGAAUCCGGCAGAGGGGGGUGGAAUGCCACGUGUAGCAGUGAAAUGCGUAGAGAUGUGGCGGAACACCGAUGGCGAAGGCAGCCCCCUGGGCUGAGAUUGACGCUCAGGCACGAAAGCGUGGGGAGCAAACAGG
rnacentral:rRNA from 1 species